GAGUGCUAUCCGUGUGAAUACGUAAACAGCAAAGGAACAGAUCGCCGGCGCUGUACGACAACAUUAAAGGUGACGGACUUUCAACGGUAACGAGGAAGACGAUAUAUGAUUUGACUACAGUUGACUGUAGUUAGUCGACGACAUAUGGUCUGUGCAAACAUACGUGAAUAGAGAGCGCUCAGUUAAUUUUUAUUUCGGCAGUUUUUUCUUUCAUUAUUGUAUUCAACUUUAAACAAUAUUAUAUAAUAAUUGUUCCUUAUUCAAGUUCAUUAUUAAUUGUACAUCAUUAAUCUUUCAAUAUGAAGAUUUUUCAACAAUUUUAAAAAGGGAUCACGAGUCGCUGAAAGUGAAUAGUCGUCUCGGACGAAGUCGAAUCGCAACGGACACCCGGAUAAAGAGAAGGAACGUCUUCGGGGUUGCUCGCCUGACGCGGCUAGGAACCCCAAGACAAUAUAACACACAAAAGUCUCGCUUGGCUAGUCACUUACGCUUCCUCUUCCUCGAGUUUUACCCGGGAAUCUCGCCACCUAUUUUCCCUCCUUUCAACCCCUACUCGUGAUUUCCGCGUCCCUCCGCCCCUGACGUUCUUCCGUUCUUCUUCGUCACGGCAGCUGGGCUACACACCACGGAAAAGUAUUACGUGCAUCCUGUUCGUGAUGAAAGGGUCUCAGUUUCCUUCCUCGGGAGCUGUUGUCCCUUCGCGAUUGUUCGCUGAAAUCUUGCCGAGAUCAACGAUCGCAUCCUACACCCUUCUGCGAACUCUUCCCCUAGGUCGAUUCGACUGACUGUCGAGCGUUAGAUUCCUUAUUUUUUGCGAUUUAGAGCUGUUGCUUUGUUAGUCAUAGAUAGAAGAUAUGAUGCAUAUAAUCGAGUGGACUGCAUACGGAGUUUUUAGAUACUAGAUACAAAUUUCAAAGGCAAAACGAAGUGUCAUUGAUGCGAUGACUUGGUAUCGACAACUGCUUGCUGAACGAAACAGGCCUAGACAAACAACUUUCGAUGACUUCGUCACAAAAAACAAAUACCAAAAAAUAUCAAACGAAGAAGAACCUUCCUCGUCACAAGGGUGAUAUCUUUACUUGAUCUUUUUUUUUAUUUUCAUGAAUGUUUUAUGAAUAAAAAUGGAUAUUAGCAAUAAAUAAGUCUAUCUCGUUCGGACGAGUGCGUAAGAGAUCGUACUAGUUCGUCGUCGUAGUCGUAAUAUACAAAAUGAAUAUUUCAAAUGAAUUUAUUUAGAAUGAGUUGCAUUCGAAACAUACUUAUUUUAUUGCACACAUUUGGAUUACUCAUAACUUUCAGAAUAAUUUUGAUAAUGUAUUAUACUGGGCGACAGAUGUCUAUUUUGUUUAAUAUCGCCAUUUCAGUUACGCAUUCAGACAUGAAUAGUUAUUAAAAAAAAUAUACUCUUAUUCAUACAUUGUUACGUUAGUUUUACUACCAUACAUUCAGUAAAGACUGAGUAUUUUUAUGAGUAAGAGUAUAUAGACUUUCUAUUUAUAUCAUAUUUUAACAAUGUAUGAAUGUGAAUAUAUUUUUUAUAACAUAUUCGAACGAACUCGUCCGAACGAGUUAUGAGCCAGCCGUGCCAGUCGGGCCCUCCCGAUACUCUCGGCCUCCUCGAGCAACUCGAAGCACUCGGGCCGCUCGAAACACUCGGGCUGCUCGAGGCGUUCGGGCUACCCGUGUGAAGCUGGCCCCACCUAUAUGAAAAACUCAAAAUUUUCUUUUUGCAUACGUUUGCUCAUCGUUUGCUCAGGAAUGAUCAAUUCGAAUUUUCGUUUGCCCAUCUUUAGUUCAAAAGCUACACGCGAUUGAAAAUUUUGCAAAGUAUGAAGCUAGCCCCACCUAAUUUGAAUCGCGUAUAUCUUUUGAACUAAAGAGGAGCAAACGAAAAUUUUACUUGAGCAAACGUGAGCAAACGAUGAGCAAACGUAUGCAAAAAAGAAAAUUUUGAGUUUUUCAUAUAGGUGGGGCCAGCUUCAUACGGGUCGUCUCACAGUGAUCCGGAUGACCGAAAACCUGGCCAAAAUCCAACUUUUGAAGUUUCGAACGCAUUUUUUUCAAUAUUGUGCGUGUGUUGUAUACAAAUGAGUGCAUUAAAUGCCGUUUGAAAUAAAAAAAAUAGUAAUUGGUUACUGAUAUACAGAGGUUCAAAGUUGACGACAUUUCAUGCUCCUUGAUAUCGUGAAAAGUGGCGCAUGUUUAUUGCGACACAGAAAGAUUAUCCUCAAUAGAUUCAUAUGUAAAUCAUUUUACCAUAAAAGUAAAUAUUAUAAACAUAAACUUUACACGAGAGCAAAGUAAAAUAUCUUUGGAUUCACUAUUGUAAUUCCCUUCUCAAUAUGGGAUAAAUUUUAGUUAUCUUUCAAUGAAUCGGAAGGAAAAGAAAGAUGAUAGUUACCGAAUGACACGCUCUGCCAAGUUUCUUGAUAUAAAGUAACAUGUCAGGUAUGAUAUCCAAUUGAGAAAACUUGCGCAAAUUUGCGCCAUUUUAAGUUAUUUAAAUUUAAAGUGCCAAGUAGGAGUAUUUACAAUCUGUCCAACCAGCAUAACUUGUUGAUAUAUGCUCUGUAAAGGUUAAUAUAUUAGUAUAAAACUUAAUAUAAAAUGAAAAAAGAAGUAUGCAAAGCACUAAUACGUUUUUACUUAAUAAUGGAUCCAAGAUUAUAAUUUGUCAAAGUUUCGAUUACAAGUGGCUAGAUUAAUGUAGCCUACUUUUGAAAGAUCUAUUUUUCCAUUUAUUUAAACGAAACUGACACUGGUAGCUAAUUAUAGAUUGUUUUGCAUGUUGUGCCGUAAUAUACAUAAGAAUCAAGUGAAAAAGAACGACCGUUUAUGUUGGAGUAUCGAAACCGAGUCGAACGGCAUUAACAUCUUAUUGAUAAGGAGCAUGGACUUCACAACCGAGAGAAAAAUGUUUGGCAGUGGGUUCUUCGUUAAAGUACGGCGGUCCACACAGCGAGACACGAAUGUAUGUAAGGUGGAGACUCUCUAGUUUCUUUUAAUACCAAACACAAUUUGCAAAGAUUUGCAAAAGUCCACUAAAUACGCGUCAACAUUAAUCUCUUAUCACUCUACGCGCGCCUAUGCCAUGCUUACAAGGAAAGGAAGACUGUUUACGCGGCAUUAAAAUAAACCUUAUUAUCUUUAAUUUUAAUUUAACAAUACAAAAUUCAUAAUAAUUUAAUAUUUUUAAUAUGCAUGUCGACCAUAUUGGAUUUGCCAUUUCGAAUUUUGCAAUUCUGAUACUAGAUUCGUAAUUUCCAGCCCAAAUGACUCUUAAAUACCAAGUUUCAUGAAGAUCCGAAAACUUCGUCUAAUUUUGGCCAGGUUUUUGGCCAUCCGGACCACUGUGCGUCGCGGCCCGGUGUCCCUGGUACCUGAAUA